AUGAAAAUGAGGCAGGAGUUUUCUUACAAACCCAAAGAGAGGCUACCUACUGUUUCCAGGUAUUCACCAUAGACUUACUUUGAUUCAAUAUCAGAAUAGAUCCCAUAAUAACUGCUGCAAAAUUAAAUUCUUUAAAAAUGUGACAGUAAAAUCUUUGAAAAUAACCCUAGUUUUAAAUAAAUCUGACGGUCUGAUGCUUAAUUAUAUUCAUGUCCUAUUAUUUGAUGUGAUGAAGGUAUGGAGGGAGUCACUAUGAACCGUCAGUGAGACCUCACACUGAGACUGUGGAUCUCACAGAAGAAGACCCACCUCACCUGCCAGACAUAGUUCAUCUGGAUGAUGUUGACUGUGAUUAUGAUGACUAUGACAUGAGCAGGAUGACGGAGGACUCUAUCCAAACAUCUGCUGCGUCUUCUUCUCACCAACAAAGUUCCUCAGUGUGGAUGAACCCAGGAAGCAGUGUUGGAGUGAGUCAGAACCAUAAACCACUACUGAACCAGAUCAAUACAACCAACUGGGCUUACUCAGAGAGGUCCACUGCUGUAUCGAACCAGAGUGCUCACUACAAAAAUAUUUCAUCCUCACAAAUACCGACUGUCAGCUUUGACCUUGGAAAUGAAUGGGACGACUUUGAUGAUGAGAACUUGGUGUGUGCUAGCGAGACAUUGUAUACAGCUAAUGCUAAACCUCAAGUCCAGCCAUCUGUUGACUACAACACACCAGGUAGAGUGAAGUUUGAGCUUCUCUCUGUUCAGGAGACAAAGGUUGGAAAUCAGUGUGUGGAUUGAGAGUCAAGAAGUCAUUGUAAUCAACCUGUUUUGGUUAUUAUGAUUUUGAUAUGUAUACAUUUGUUUUAUGUGUAGGUUUAGCUGCUUCAUCAGUGUUAGUAUCACAAGUCAAACCCUGUAUAACCAGUGCUGGAACACCACUGAGGUCGACUUCACCAGCUUUAGGUCCUGAAAUCAGAAAAAUGGGACCCUCACCGGUAACAGUGAGACCACAAAACAGAAUCACACUGGACUGGAAUAAAAAGGUGUGUGUGUGUGUGUGUGUGUGUGUGUGUGUGUGUGUGUGUGUGUGUGUGUGUGUGUGUGUGUGUGUGUGUGUGUGUGUGUGUGUGUGUGUGUGUGUGUGUGUGUGUGUGUGUGUGUGUGUGUGUGUGUGUGUGUGUGUGUGUGUGUGUGUGUGUGUGUGUGUGUGUGUGCGCGUGCGCGCGCAGAGAUCAGAGUAUGUGCUAUUUCUGCAGCUUUGUGGCUACAUUUACAUGCAGGGAGAACACUGUUUUUCAUAUUGUUUACAUGGUUACUCACGUACACUUGUUUUUAAUUUGUUUAAUCCAGUAAAUCUCAGACUCAUACAAUGGAGCUGCCGGGCCAUGUACAGUAUUACAGGCCAGUCUGCUGUAUGGAUACAUUUAGAUGUCAGAAAACAUGGCAGAAAGCAGCAUUUGCUAUCAGUGUAGCUAUUUUCUGAUGGGAUUUUCUCUUUAUGGACAGGAAUAUUCUGUUUAGUUAUUAUUAAUAGCACAAGGGUCACUGUCACCCAGCUUGAAUUAAAGGUGCCUGUAACCUUUCUAAAAUCUUACCUGGUAUAUGGUGUAUGGCACAUGUGACGCUCGCCUCUCUCCCUCCUUGUGCAGAGACCAAACAUCUUCAGUGAAGUGAUCUCUGUAAAAACACCAGAACAUCUCCCAAAACAGACUGAGACCCGCGUGGCCCCACUUACCAGAAGAUUUGAUUUCUUCUCAACAAUGAGCUUCCCAGACAACACCAGCUCAUCUGUCAACAGAUGGUAGAGGAAAAUAUAAUUACAUACUUUUAUUUGACUCAUUACUUUUACUACUACUAAUAUUAUUUUCUUUGUACAAUGAAAAUAAUCCUAUAUUGAAUACAUAAAGAAUACUUUUUUACCUGAUUAACCCUCCCCCUGUUUUUAUAUUCAGCCUGAACAGCAAAGAAGAGGAAGCUUUCGUUGGGAUAUUUGAUGGUAUAUUUUAGAAGUACUGCUUGUCUAACUGUGAAAUUAAUACGUUAUAAACAUUAAGUGUUUUAUUUAUGUUUGUGUUCACGUUUUGUGAAUAUUUCAGCUUUACAUCAAAAGACUGUUUUAAAGUAAUCUUACUGUAUAAACGAAACACUUCUAUUUUUGAUUGUUACCAAUGUAAUUUAUUUAUUUAAUAAAGUCUCUGUUUGUUGUAUUCAGUGCAGUAUUGGGGAGUAAAUCAGCUCAUAGUUUAAAUAUCAGUACCCUUGUGAGUAUUUUAGGUGUUUAAAUAGAUGAGAGGUGCAUCCUUUGAGCUAUUGUCUAUACUGUAUAUGUAUUUAUCACAACUGUAUACAAAUCUGGAGCUGUAUUUAUAACAUGUUGUAUCUUACCAUAAGGAAUCCUCCUAAAUGGUACUUAACGUGUUAACUAAGAGUUUCCUUUUAAGAGCUUUUCACAGAGCUGCUGGGAGCAACUUUGACUGAUUGGAUUGAGAGAACUUAUAAAUAAAGCUUAUUCACAUGACUAUGAAUAAGUCAUAUUCAUUUACUCCUUAUGUCUACAGAGAAAAGUGUGAAAAGCAACUAGGCUGGAUUAGACUAUAAUAAAUGUAUAUUUUUUUAUAAAAAUAUUAAAAUAAAAAUUCAAUAAUUAAAUUAAGUAAAAAAAAAAAAAAUUAUAGUAAUAUAUAUAAAAAACUUAGAUUGAAAUUAAAUAUCGAAUCAAUUAAAUCAUUUAAGUAAAUUAAAUCGAUCAAAUUAAUUGAUUAUAUGUUAUGAUUUUUUAUGUUUUGAAGAAUUGUAUAAAUUGUGUCACAAAUUUCAUAUAUGAUAAAAAAAAUAUUAUUUAAUCUACUCUUAAUGUUCUGUCAAACAAAUGUGGAUCACCACAUUUUUCCAGUGUUCAAAUAGUGGUGAGUUGUGCAAACUCUUAUCUUAUGGUUUCUAUUUGUUGGUGAGCUCAUAUAAACUAAAAAUUCAUUGUGAUGUUUUUCCAAAACACUGACGCAAUGAGGCACAUAAUCUGUAGCAUGUGACUGACUCUUGAGUCUGCUUUGUGAAUUAUUUGAGUCCUAAAGUCGGGACCGACACGCCUGUUAUUUUAAAUUCUGUCCCAGUUAUCAGCUACUUGAGGAUGUUUUAUAAAUAAACCCCCUGUUAUGUUACAAGAGGACGUUGGCGUCGCUUUAAUUUUCUAUAUAUUUUGAUCCCACAGUCCCUUUCUUCCCGACCAUGUGCUCCGGGCCGGUUUGGUUGGAGAUCUCUUGAUAUCGCGUGAUCUGUGUGAUGUAACGCGAGAUCUCGCUGACGUCACUUUUAGCGGGGAUUUUGUUGGCGGAACAGUUUCAUCCUGAGAGUCUGAACUAAUGAUUGUAUUCAGUAUUCAGUAUUCAAUGAGACUUUAUAUAUUUAAGCUUUAUGCCGAUGGAGAAUUAGCUAAUUGCUGCGACGUUUUUAUUAAAUAUUAAUUUGAGAAACUGUUGCACUGGACGACCAAUUAAAACGGUGAGUUUAUUUUUGUUUGACUCUAGUUAGCUGACAGACUGUAGCUAACAGUAGCUAGCACGUUAGUGUUGUUGUAAUAAAGAAGACAAACUAUUAGCUGUACACAUUUCCUAUCCAUCUGCCAACUUAACCCGAUAGUUUACCAAUAACCAAUGUCUCUAUCAAGGGAACUUUACUGUCCAAACACUGUCCAACUUAACAUGACUUCUAAAGUUAAUGUAACAGCGACUAACCGGAUGUUAAUGUUUAUUAUAAGAUAAUAAUAAUAAUAAUAGAUACAACAGAGCACUAUAGAUGAGCAAAUACACCUUCAAUAAGAAAAUAGAGUAGAAAAAUACAAGAUAUAAAACAGAAUAAGAGUUAUAUGUUCACUACAUUCAGCUUUUUAUAUACAAACUGUACUGAUAAGGAUCACAGGUCACAUCAGGAGGCAAUGGUGUAUAUAUAAUAUAUACAGCAGUAUAGUUUAAAAGAAACAUAGACUAUGUGAUUAAAACUGUUUAGUAUCAGUGAUUAAAAUG
rnacentral:lncRNA from 15 species